UAACCUGCCCAAGAGAUCGGGAUAACACCUGGAAACAGAUGCUAAUACCGGAUAACAACAGAUGAUGCCUAUCAACUGUUUAAAAGAUGGUUCUGCUAUCACUCUUGGAUGGACCUGCGGUGCAUUAGCUAGUUGGUAGGGUAACGGCCUGCCAAGGCGAUGAUGCAUAGCCGAGUUGAGAGACUGAUCGGCCACAUUGGGACUGAGACACGGCCCAAACUCCUACGGGAGGCAGCAGGGUU
rnacentral:rRNA from 1 species